AAUUAAUUUUAUUAAUAAUUUUAUUUUAAUUUGGUUUUUUAUAAAAGUAAUUUAUUUAUUUUGAGUUUUAGUAUUAAUUUAAAAAUAAUUUUUAGAUUUAUAGUUUAAUAGUAUUGUGAAAGAAUUAUUUAAAUUAAAUAAAGAAUUUUUAGUACCUUUUGUAUCAGGGUUGAUUAAAAUUUUUAAUUUUUUUUUGAUUUCUCAAAAUUUAUAGAGUUAAUUUUAUUAUUAAGUUAUUGUUUUAUAAAUAUUUAUUAAAUAAUUUUAGUUUUGAAAUUUAAUUCGUUAUAUUAUAUUUAGUUAUUUAAGAUUUAAAUUUAAUUUAAAAUUUUAAAAGUUGUAUUAAUUUUAUUAAUUGAUAUUUUAAAUUUAAAUUAUUUUAAGGAUAAGCUUGAAAUUUUAAUAUAAUAAUUUUUUUAUUUUAAUAAUUUAUAGGAAUAGAAAUUUUUAUUUUAAGUUUGUAAAAAUUUAUUAUUUAUUUAAUUUUAAUUUAUUAUAAUUUUAUUUAUUUUUAAUAUUAAAUUUUAUUAAUUAAUAUUUAAUUUUUAGUAAUAAUGAUUAAAUUAGUAUAAUUUUUAUUUAUAAAUUAUGAAUUCGGCAAAUAUUAUUUUCAUCUGUUUAACAAAAACAUUGUAUUAAGUUUAAUUUAAUAUAGGAUCUGCUCAAUGAUUUAUUAAAUAGCUGCAGUAUUUUGACUGUGCAAAGGUAGCAUAAUAAUUAGUCUUUUAAUUGGGGACUUGUAUGAAAGAUUUGAUGAGAAAUAAACUUUAUUAUUUAUAUAGUUAAAAUUUUAUUUUUAAGUAAAAAAGCUUAAAUUUUUUAAAGGGACGAUAAGACCCUAUAAAACUUUAUAAAUAAUAAUUUUAAUUUUUUUGGAUUAAUAAUUAUUUUAUUAUUAUUAUUUAUUUUAUUGGGGUGAUAAAAAAAAUUAAUUAACUUUUUUUAAAAUUUUACAUUAUUUAAUGGAUUUUUGAAUUAAAAUUUUUAAUUAAAGGAAAAAGUUACUUUAGGGAUAACAGCGUAAUUAAUUUUUUAAGUUCAAAUUUGAAAAUUAGUUUGCGACCUCGAUGUUGAAUUAAGAUUAAUCUUAGGUGCAAAAUUUUAAGUAUUAGGUCUGUUCGACCUUUAAAUUCUUACAUGAUUUGAGUUCAAACCGGUGUAAGCCAGGUUGGUUUCUAUCUUUUAAAAAAUUAAUUAUUUUAGUACGAAAGGAUUAAAUAAUUAAAUUAUAUUUUAUUAAAUGAAUAAAAUUAAUUUA
rnacentral:rRNA from 1 species